UGCAUUUUUUGGUAAGACGAUGUUAACAAAAGUUGUUCGUCUUGAUGAGGGCUACAACUUUGCUUAAUAUCCUUUUAACAAAUUAUGCGUAUUUAAGAAGAUAGGUCCGCGCAUGCGCAGAACGUAACUCCUUACGCUUGCGUUUUUUGGUAAGACGAUGUUAACAAAAGUUGUUCGUCUUGAUGAGGGCUACAACUUUGCUUAAUAUCCUUUUAACAAAUUAUGCG
rnacentral:miRNA from 1 species